GACGAACGCUGGCGGCGUGCCUAAUACAUGCAAGUUGAGCGCUGAAGGUUGGUACUUGUACCAACUGGAUGAGCAGCGAACGGGUGAGUAACGCGUGGGGAAUCUGCCUUUGAGCGGGGGACAACAUUUGGAAACGAAUGCUAAUACCGCAUAAAAACUUUAAACACAAGUUUUAAGGUUGAAAGAUGCAAUUGCAUCACUCAAAGAUGAUCCCGCGUUGUAUUAGCUAGUUGGUGAGGUAAAGGCUCACCAAGGCGAUGAUACAUAGCCGACCUGAGAGGGUGGUCGGCCACAUUGGGACUGUGACACGGCCCAUACUCCUUCGGGAGGCAGCAGUAGGGAAUCUUCGGCAAUGGGCGGAAGUCUGACCGAGCAACGCCGCGUGAGUGAAGAAGGUUUUCGGAUCGUAAAACUCUGUUGGUAGAGAAGAACGUUGGUGAGAGUGGAAAGCUCAUCAAGUGACGGUAACUACCCAGAAAGGGACGGCUAACUACGUG
rnacentral:rRNA from 1 species